GACGAACGCUGGCGGCGUGCUUAACACAUGCAAGUCGAACGAGAGACGGUGAAAAGCUUGCUUUUAAUCGAAUCGAGUGGCAAACGGGUGAGUAACGCGUAGACAACCUGCCCCUGGGAUGGGGACAACAGCUGGAAACGGCUGCUAAUACCGAAUGAGCUCCCGGUACCGCAUGGAACGGGGAGGAAAGGGUGGCCUCUGGAACAAGCUACCGCCGAGGGAGGGGUUUGCGUCUGAUUAGCUGGUUGGUGAGGUAAGGGCUCACCAAGGCGACGAUCAGUAGCCGGUCUGAGAGGAUGAACGGCCACAUUGGAACUGAGAGACGGUCCAGACUCCUACGGGAGGCAGCAGUGGGGAAUCUUCCGCAAUGGGCGAAAGCCUGACGGAGCAACGCCGCGUGAGUGAAGACGGCCUUCGGGUUGUAAAGCUCUGUUACACGGGACGAACGGGUUUUGUGCGACAGCAUAAGACCGUGACGGUACCGUAGAAGAAAGCCACGGCUAACUACGUGCCAGCAGCCGCGGUAAUACGUAGGUGGCAAGCGUUGUCCGGAAUGAUUGGGCGUAAAGGGCGCGCAGGCGGCCGGCCAAGUCUGUCUAAAAAGUGCGGGGCUUAACCCCGUGAGGGGAGAGAAACUGGUUGGCUGAGAGUAUCGGAGAGGAAAGCGGAAUUCCUAGUGUAGCGGUGAAAUGCGUAGAUAUUAGGAGGAACACCGGUGGCGAAAGCGGCUUUCUGGACGACAACUGACGCUGAGGCGCGAAAGCCAGGGGAGCAAACGGGAUUAGAUACCCCGGUAGUCCUGGCCGUAAACGAUGGGUACUAGGUGUGGGAGGUAUCGACCCCUUCCGUGCCGGAGUUAACGCAAUAAGUACCCCGCCUGGGGAGUACGGCCGCAAGGUUGAAACAAAGGAAUUGACGGGGGCCCGCACAAGCGGUGGAGUAUGUGGUUUAAUUCGACGCAACGCGAAGAACCUUACCAAGCCUUGACAUUG
rnacentral:rRNA from 1 species